GUGAUCAGCACUGAACACAGAGCACACCAUGGAUUUGUGGCUGAUGUGGGUUUUCCUUGUUGUUCUUUUAAAAGGUGUCCAUUGUGAAGUGAAGCUGGUGGAGUCUGGGGGUGGACUGACACAGCCUGGGGGAUCCCUGAGACUCUCCUGUGCAGCCUCUGGAUUCACAUUCAGUGACUCCUGGAUGAACUGGAUCAGACAGGAUCCAGGGAAGGGGCUGGAGUGGGUUGGAAAUAUUAAUCAAGUUGGUGGUUCCACAUACUAUGCACCAUCCCUGAAGGACCGAUUCACCAUCUCCAGAGACAAUGCCAAGAACACACUGUACCUGCAAAUGAGCAGUGUGAGAUCUGAGGACACUGCCACUUAUUACUGUGCUAGAUACACAGUGAGAGGACCUCAGUGCACACCCAGACAUAAACCUCACUUUACAUCUACAUUCAUCAUUCAUUUCAACUGUGAUAACAUGAACUGCCAAGAGCAAGGCAAGAGGACCAACAGCAGCACUGGACAUGGUAGAACAUGGCUUGGUCGGCAGAAAAGCUUCCACAAGGGGGCCUUGGAGAGGCAGAGCCCCAAGAACUACAGGUCCACAGGACCUCAUGCUGUUAUUGAGCAUAGCUCUGCUUAUGGCUCUCAUGGCCACCACAUCCCUCCUAGUCUAUGA